AAGAUGACUUUUGUCCUAUUAUAUUUGGUAGACCCUUCUUGAAUACUGUUAAUGCUAAGAUAGAUUGCAAAAAAGAUGUUGUUACUGGAUUGGGGAUAUGUCUCAUCUAUAUCUAUCUAUCUAUCUAUAUCUUCUAUCUAUAUCUAUAUCUAUCUAUCUAUUUAUCUAUACCUAUACUAAUUUGAGACUCCCUGCAAAUUACCACGUUAAUUAAAAAUUAAGAGCCGUUUAUCUGGUGGGACCCCGUGUUAUGUAUUCUACAACCAUUAGAUGAAUCCCGCCGGGCUAACUAUUGCACAUGGCCGCCUCUUAUUUUAUAAUAAAGAAAAAACCUAUCUGCCCAUCGGCCCGUCUUCCUCCUCUGCCUCCUACACUAUUCCUCUUCUGCCGCUCUCCAUGCCCUAGGCCUAGAGGCUCCAUCCAUGAGAUGUGGUCUCAGUAUUCAGGUACACGACGACGGCGGCCGGUGGCGCUCCCAUUCAUGGCCGGCGAGGAGAAGCUGCAGCUUCCGUCGCGCCCCGAGGUAACAUGGAGUCUGCUCAUUUGUAACGGCAUAGAGAUAGGAACGAGCAAUUCAGCUUAACUUUGAGAAAGUGGCGGACAAAAGAGAACUGGACUAUUGUUGCUGAGCGCUAGCUCUGGCCGCAUGAUCAUCUAUGUAUAUAGUUUUCAACAAUAAAUGUAUCCUGAUUGGUAUAGCACAAUUGGAAAUCCUACUUUCUUCUGAUCUCUUAAUUUCAAGAUGAACUGGAGAGGGGAAUUUGUACUAAGUUUGGAAUCUGUCACAGUAAGUGUGUAUUUGCGGUAUUGAUGUACAGUUAUUAAGAAAGAUACAUUUUCCAGCUA